AAUAUUACACAUUGAUACCUUUUAUUACCACGUUGAUGUUUUUGAUCUGUCCUAUAGGGGUUAAAGGGAUCUAAUGGAGAGAGAGGGCCCGCUGGACCACAGGUAAGGAAGCUCACUCUUUAAGACCAUUUUACUCAUACAGACUAGCUUUAGACACACUGGAUGAGGUUUCCCCCUGGGGUUACAGCCUGACUCUGCCGUGAUGUUUUUCUGGUUUAUCCACCUCAGGGUCGUCAAGGAGACACUGGACUCAAUGGCAUACAGGGGUCACCAGGUCCUCCAGGCUUACCAGGGUCAGAGGGCAGGACAGGGAAGCCAGGCCCCCCAGGAAGCCAGGGGCCUCUGGGGCCUCAGGUGCCAGCCGGGCCCACCGGGUUUCCAGUGAGUGGGUACUUUUCAUCUUUUCUUUUCAUCUUUCAGGCCUAUCUGUAUAUUAGUUACAAAGAUAUUUUUGUAUUAUUCUAUAUUCUCUUGAUGAAAUAUUUGAAUGAACAUUACAGAUAUUAAAAUGUAUUAUCAAUACAUGUAUAGUCACUCUUGAGUCUGAUAAUGUAUUUUAUCUACUGUAUCCAGGGCACUCCUGGAAUGGAUGGCGUAACGGGGCAGGUUGGAGAAAAUGGAGUGCAGGUGAGUUCAAUGCCAGCCCUAGGUCUUGUCUUUUUCUAUUUUCCAAUGAUAGAUUGAAAGCAAUAAAGCAUGAAUCAUGACAGUCGGUAAUGCAUUGAGUGAUGUACUGUACUUUUGUGUCUGUUUAGGGAGCAGCAGGGCCUGUUGGGGACAGUGGGCCAUCUGGACUGGAUGGACAGCAGGUGUGUGUCUGUUCCUAGACAGUCGUAUACCCAUCCACCUCCAUUAGGACUGAUGUUGUGUUUUUUGCUAUUUUUUGUUUUCAUGGUGUAAAGUGUGGUAUAUAAUACAAUACCUUUGCAAUAGUGCUAUCAUGGCUGACAUUGAUGACCCUGUACUGUAUUCUCCUGCCUCCCAGGGUCCCCCAGGAACAGUUGGUGAGGAGGGGCCAUCUGGCAGGAAGGGGGAACCGGUCAGUGACAUCAUCACAAUAGGAUUUCCUCCCUUUUUCAGUAGUUCAGUUCAAAUGUGUUAAUUAGAUCGCUCACUACUCUAUCCCCACCUCUCUGACUCCAUCUAUGUUGCUGUGAGACAGGGAGCUCCAGGUCCCUUUGGAAAGCCAGGGCCGAAUGGGCUACAGGGAGAGCCAGGGCCACAGGGCUCCCAGGGGCUGCAGGGUGAGCCUGGGCCAAGGGGCAAAGAGGUCAGUUGUAUUACCCUUUCUACCAAGCUCAUCUACAGACACAGGCUGCCAUCAUUAUCAGCUUGGGAAGUGGUUUCAUGGUUUUCUGUGAUUGUCUGUUGCAGGGAGAGAUGGGAGGUUUCGGCAACAGAGGAUAUCCUGGUCCUAAAGGACAAAAGGUAAUGGAAUGAACAGAAUAAAGAAU
rnacentral:lncRNA from 8 species